rnacentral:rRNA from 1 species
GAUCCUGGCUCAGGAUGAACGCUGGCGGCGUGCCUAAUACAUGCAAGUCGAACGAGGUAGCAAUACCGAGUGGCGAACGGGUGAGUAACACGUAGGUAACCUGCCCUUAAGCUUGGGAUACCCAGAGGAAACUUGGCUAAUACCGGAUAACAACAGAGAAGGCAUCUUCUUUGCUUGAAAGGCCCCUUCAAGGGUCACUUAAGGAUGGACCUGCGGCGCAUUAGCUAGUUGGUGAGAUAACAGCCCACCAAGGCGAGGAUGCGUAGCCGAACUGAGAGGUUGAUCGGCCACAUUGGAACUGAGACACGGUCCAAACUCCUACGGGAGGCAGCAGUAAGGAGUUUUCGGCAAUGGGGGAAACCCUGACCGAGCAACGCCGCGUGAGCGAUGACGGCCCUAUUGGGUUGUAAAGCUCUGUUGUAAGCCAUGAAUGACAGCUUGAGGAAAUGCAAGUUGUUUGACGACAGCUUACCAGAAAGCCACGGCUAACUACGUGCCAGCCGCCGC